ACUUCAGUAGUUGAGACUUAGCGUGGUAAGCUGAAUGGCAUGGGUUCGAACCCCAUCUGAGGCA
rfam:Asian citrus Psyllid, Diaphorina citri - Florida Strain, whole genome shotgun sequence.